AUGAACGCUGGCGGCGUGCUUAACCCAUGCCCGUCGAACGAUGAAGCCCAGCUUGCUGGGUGGAUUAGUGGCGAACGGGUGAGUAACACGUGAGUAACCUGCCCUUGACUCUGGGAUAAGCCUGGGAAACUGGGUCUAAUACUGGAUAUGACUUCUCAUCGCAUGGUGGGGGGUGGAAAGAUUUAUUGGUCUUGGAUGGACUCGCGGCCUAUCAGCUUGUUGGUGAGGUAAUGGCUCACCAAGGCGACGACGGGUAGCCGGCCUGAGAGGGUGACCGGCCACACUGGGACUGAGACACGGCCCAGACUCCUACGGGAGGCAGCAGUGGGGAAUAUUGCACAAUGGGCGCAAGCCUGAUGCAGCGACGCCGCGUGAGGGAUGACGGCCUUCGGGUUGUAAACCUCUUUCAGUAGGGAAGAAGCGAGAGUGACGGUACCUGCAGAAGAAGCGCCGGCUAACUACGUG
rnacentral:rRNA from 1 species